rnacentral:rRNA from 1 species
UACGGGAGGGUGCAAGCGUUAUCCGGAUUCACUGGGUUUAAAGGGUGCGUAGGCGGAUUGGUAAGUCCGUGGUGAAAUCCCCGAGCUUAACUUGGGAACUGCCGUGGAUACUAUCAGUCUUGAAUAUCGUGGAGGUAAGCGGAAUAUGUCAUGUAGCGGUGAAAUGCUUAGAUAUGACAUAGAACACCAAUUGCGAAGGCAGCUCACUACACGAGCAUUGACUCUGAGGCACGAAAGCGUGGGAUCAAACAGG